rnacentral:rRNA from 1 species
UGCAGUCGAGGGGUAACAGGGAUUGCUUGCAAUCCGCUGACGACCGGCGCACGGGUGCGUAACGCGUAUGCAACCUACCUUCUACAGGGGGAUAGUCAAUAGAAAUGUUGAAUAAUACCCCAUACGAUCAUUAAUCUGCAUGGAUUGAUGAAGAAAGUUCCGGCGGUAGAAGAUGGGCAUGCGUCCUAUUAGUUAGUUGGUAAGGUAACGGCUUACCAAGACAUCGAUAGGUAGGGGUCCUGAGAGGGAGAUCCCCCACACUGGUACUGAGACACGGACCAGACUCCUACGGGAGGCAGCAGUGAGGAAUAUUGGACAAUGGAGGCAACUCUGAUCCAGCCAUGCCGCGUGCAGGAAGACUGCCCUAUGGGUUGUAAACUGCUUUUAUACAGGAAGAAUAGUACCUACGUGUAGGUAUUUGACGGUACUGUACGAAUAAGGAUCGGCUAACUCCGUGCCAGCAGCCGCGGUAAUACGGAGGAUCCAAGCGUUAUCCGGAAUCAUUGGGUUUAAAGGGUCCGUAGGCGGUCUGAUAAGUCAGAGGUGAAAUCCUGCAGCUCAACUGUAGCAUUGCCUUUGAUACUGUUAGACUUGAGUUAUUGUGAAGUAGUUAGAAUGUGUGGUGUAGCGGUGAAAUGCAUAGAUAUCACACAGAAUACCGAUUGCGAAGGCAGAUUACUAACAAUAUACUGACGCUGAGGGACGAAAGCGUGGGUAGCGAACAGGAUUAGAUACCCUGGUAGUCCACGCCGUANACGAUGGAUACUAGCUGUUCGAUCAACAUUGGUUGGUUGAGUGGCUAAGCGAAAGUGAUAAGUAUCCCACCUGGGGGAGUACGCUCGUAAGAGUGAAACUCAAAGGAAUUGACGGGGGCCCGCACAAGCGGUGGAGCAUGUGGUUUAAUUCGAUGAUACGCGAGGAACCUUACA